rnacentral:snoRNA from 2 species
CCCCUCUCAGGGUGGCACCUGGAGAGUUUCCAGCCCUCUACCAGUCUCAACUAUGGGAGGGAGAGUCGAGCAGAGGCCUGUCCGUUCCCUUCCUAGCUUGGCCAGUGGCUAGCGAGGGGAAGACGAUCUGCUACGAGU